rnacentral:rRNA from 1 species
UACGGAGGAGGCAAGCGUUGUCCGGAAUUAUUGGGCGUAAAGCGCGCGUAGGUGGUAUUUUAAGUCUGCUGUUAAAGCCCGCAGCUCAACUUUGGAGGGGCAUUGGAAACUGAGAAGCUAGAGUGCGGAAGGGGUAGGUGGAAUUCCAAGUGUAGCGGUGAAAUGCGUAGAGAUUGGGAAGAACACCGGUGGCGAAGGCGCCCUGCUGGGCUGUAACUGACACUGAUGCGCGAAAGCGUGGGGAGCAAACAGG